rnacentral:rRNA from 1 species
GACGUAGGGCGCAAGCGUUGUCCGGAUUUAUUGGGCGUAAAGAGCUCGUAGGCGCCUGUCGCGUCGACCGUGAAAACCCGCAGCUCAACUGCGGGCUUGCGGUCGAUACGGGCAGGCUCGAGUUCGGUAGGGGAGACUGGAAUUCCUGGUGUAGCGGUGAAAUGCGCAGAUAUCAGGAGGAACACCGGUGGCGAAGGCGGGUCUCUGGGCCGAUACUGACGCUGAGGAGCGAAAGCGUGGGGAGCGAACAGG